GGUGGCUCAGUGGUAGAGUACUUGCCUUGCAUGCAUAAGGUCCUGGGUUCGAUUCCUCAGCACCA
rnacentral:tRNA from 1 species